rnacentral:rRNA from 1 species
CCAAGUCUUGACAUCCUUUGACCACUCUAGAGAUAGAGCUUUCCCUUCGGGGACAAAGUGACAGGUGGUGCAUGGUUGUCGUCAGCUCGUGUCGUGAGAUGUUGGGUUAAGUCCCGCAACGAGCGCAACCCUUAUUACUAGUUGCCAGCAUUCGGUUGGGCACUCUAGUGAGACUGCCGGUGACAAACCGGAGGAAGGUGGGGAUGACGUCAAAUCAUCAUGCCCCUUAUGACUUGGGCUACACACGUGCUACAAUGGAUGGUACAACGAGCAGCGAACUCGCGAGGGUAAGCGAAUCUCUUAAAGCCAUUCUCAGUUCGGAUUGUAGGCUGCAACUCGCCUACAUGAAGCCGGAAUCGCUAGUAAUCGCGGAUCAGCACGCCGCGGUGAAUACGUUCCC